rnacentral:rRNA from 1 species
UGGGGAAUAUUGCACAAUGGGCGAAAGCCUGAUGCAGCGACGCCGCGUGAGGGAUGACGGCCUUCGGGUUGUAAACCUCUUUCAGCAGGGACGAAGCGAAAGUGACGGUACCUGCAGAAGAAGCACCGGCCAACUACGUGCCAGCAGCCGCGGUAAUACGUAGGGUGCAAGCGUUGUCCGGAAUUAUUGGGCGUAAAGAGCUCGUAGGCGGCCUGUUGCGUCCGCUGUGAAAGCCCGGGGCUUAACCCCGGGUCGGCAGUGGAUACGGGCAGGAUAGAGGUAGGUAGGGGAGAAUGGAAUUCCCGGUGUAGCGGUGAAAUGCGCAGAUAUCGGGAGGAACACCGGUGGCGAAGGCGGUUCUCUGGGCCUUACCUGACGCUGAGGAGCGAAAGCGUGGGGAGCGAACAGGAUUAGAUACC